AUGGCUACUUGCUUAUCUGAUCUAAUUAGAGAUUAUUGUCUAGACUUUGUUGGUAUUCAGGAAACAAUGAAGAAGGAUUUUUCCUCCAAAUUCUUGAGGAAAAUUGAUCCAGGGCAGUAUUUUGAUUGGAGGUGGAUCCCUUCAAUAGGCAAAUCUGGGGGAAUUCUUUGUGGUACUAAGGAUGAUACUUUUGAGGUUAGAUCCUGUGUGACAGGUAAAUACAUCAUGAAGCUUGACUUGUGGGAUAAGAGGAAAAAAAUGCUAUACUGUAUUAUGGUUGUGUAUGGUUCGGCUCACGAAGAGUAUAAAAUGGAAUUUUUGACAGAGAUGUCUAAUAUGUGUGGCACCACUACUUGCCCUUACAUUGUGGGGGGAGACUUCAAUAUUCUUAGAUAUGCUAAGGAGAAAAAUAAGAAAACCAGAAUGAGUCAUGCUACUGAUCUCUUCAACUCUAUCAUUAAUACAUUCGGUCUAAGGGAAAUUGACAUGAAUGGUGGUAUAUACACUUGGUCUAAUAAUCAACAAAUGCCUACCCUUGAAAAAUUGGACCGUAUACUUAUGUCCAGUUCUUGGGAAAGGCAAUUUCCUUUGACCUUUGUCAGGAAACUAACUAGAGAGAUUUUAGAUCAUAGUCCUUUAAUCUUGAAUACU
rnacentral:rRNA from 1 species